rnacentral:rRNA from 2 species
UGGGGGAUAUUGCACAAUGGGGGAAACCCUGAUGCAGCGACGCCGCGUGGAGGAAGAAGGUUUUCGGAUUGUAAACUCCUGUCGUUAGGGACGAUAAUGACGGUACCUAACAAGAAAGCACCGGCUAACUACGUGCCAGCAGCCGCGGUAAAACGUAGGGUGCAAGCGUUGUCCGGAAUUACUGGGUGUAAAGGGAGCGCAGGCGGGAAGACAAGUUGGAAGUGAAAACCAUGGGCUCAACCCAUGAAUUGCUUUCAAAACUGUUUUUCUUGAGUAGUGCAGAGGUAGAUGGAAUUCCCGGUGUAGCGGUGGAAUGCGUAGAUAUCGGGAGGAACACCAGUGGCGAAGGCGGUCUACUGGGCACCAACUGACGCUGAGGCUCGAAAGCAUGGGUAGCAAACAGGAUUAGAUACCCUGGUAGUCCAUGCCGUAAACGAUGAUUACUAGGUGUUGGGGGAUUGACCCCCUCAGUGCCGCAGUUAACACAAUAAGUAAUCCACCUGGGGAGUACGACCGCAAGGUUGAAACUCAAAGGAAUUGACGGGGGCCCGCACAAGCAGUGGAGUAUGUGGUUUAAUUCGAAGCAACGCGAAGAACCUUACCAGGUCUUGACAUCCGAUGCAUAGCACAGAGAUGUGUGAAAUCCUUCGGGACAUCGAGACAGGUGGUGCAUGGUUGUCGUCAGCUCGUGUCGUGAGAUGUUGGGUUAAGUCCCGCAACGAGCGCAACCCUUAUUGCCAGUUACUACGUUAAGAGGACUCUGGCGAGACUGCCGUUGACAAAACGGAGGAAGGUGGGGAUGACGUCAAAUCAUCAUGCCCUUUAUGACCUGGGCUACACACGUACUACAAUGGCGUUAAACAAAGAGAAGCAAGACCGCGAGGUGGAGCAAAACUCAAAAACAACGUCUCAGUUCAGAUUGCAGGCUGCAACUCGCCUGCAUGAAGUCGGAAUUGCUAGUAAUCGCGGAUCAGCAUGCCGCGGUGAAUACGUUCCC